GUGCUCACUUUUGCAACAUUUAUACUUAAAAAUUGGCAUGAUUCAGAGAAGAUUAUAAUGGCCCAUGCACAAAGGAUGACACGAAAAAUGAAAUGUGUGCAUGGGGAUA